rnacentral:lncRNA from 1 species
GCUCACCAGCUGAUCCCUGGAGCAGCGCACAACUCGUCCGUGAGCCCCUGCACCCCCGCCAGAUGGCUCUGCUCCCUUGCCCGUCGCUAGAGGCUUUCGUCGUCGAUCUUAUCCUCGGGCUCCAACAGAACAGACGUUGAACGCCUGUAUAAGGAGGCGCCUGAGCGCUUGGAGCACCCCCAUCCUCCUCCCUAGACCCACAGCUAGCUGCCCAGCGCCCCAGUUCGACCGAAGCCGCCCGCCCUGCUCGCCCCCGGCUGCGUCGCCGCCGCCAACAUCCGG